AGGGUCACUACUGGAACAAUUUACAAAACAAUUCAAGGAAGUUUUCUGUGGGAGCUGGGUGUUCUCCAAGAGGAUGCUAGGGCUAUUUUUUCAAGCAAAAUUGACAACUGUUUCAACUUUAAUUAAUAGAACAAAUUAAUUCAAAGCCACUUAUUAGACACUUACUAUGUACACAGGUCAGGCAAUACAAAAUUGAAGUGAAUCACAGCGCCUGUCUUCUAGGAAAUACAUUCUAUUGGGGGAAUGCUGUGCACAAAAAUAAUUGUACAAGGCAGAAUGUAAGAUUUGAAGAAGAUAUCACUUCCAGUUUGGAAGCUUAGGGAAGACUUCAUGGAGAAGAAGGCACCUGAAUUGAGUCUUGAAAGAAGGGAGAGAUUUCAAUAGGCAAAAAUGGAUGAAGUCAGGAGGGAACACAUAUCCCCAGGAUGAAGACAAGAUGAGGAAACUGAGGUAGACAAAGGUGAAAUGAUUUACUCAGGAUCACAUAGCUGAUAAAAAGAGGAACUGAUGAAUCAUGGGAGGGGAAAAAUGGCUCAAGACAAAUGGAAAUGCUGGAACCUUUGACCUCUGUGGAGAGGAGAGGGCCCCUGGGAGGCUCAGAACCACGUUGAUUGCAAAUAAAGGAUGCUUCUACCCUGAGAAUGCUGCUGAGAGUAAUCACGAGCAGUUGGAGCCUUGUCUAGUUUACUAAUCUACUUAAGAAGUGAUCUCCCUGCAGGGAGUUCUACAGUUUUCCUAAUUCUUGAUGCCACGGGGAUCUGGUAAAUGUAUUCCACUCUCUCCUUUCUCCUCCCCCCAACUUCAUCGUUGCCCCGAGAAUUGGCGUUGUGUACCCUUGGAAGUUUCCUACUGUCAUUAAGUUUUACUUAUUUGCUAUAUGUGUAGUGAAUUUUGUCUCCAGAUAAAGAUAAGCUGAUUUUUAUUGUAUUCUGAGUGUAUUUGUUAUCAAGGCAUGGAUC